AGAGUUUGAUCCUGGCUCAGAUUGAACGCUGGCGGCAUGCCUAACACAUGCAAGUCGAACGGUAACAGGCCGCAAGGUGCUGACGAGUGGCGAACGGGUGAGUAAUACGUAGGUAUCUGCCCUGUAGUGGGGGAUAACCCGGGGAAACUCGGGCUAAUACCGCAUACGCUCUUUUAUCGUUGAGAUAGGAGAGGAAAGCGAGGGACCGAAAGGCCUCGCGCUAGAGGAUGAGCCUACGCCCGAUUAGCUAGUUGGUAGGGUAAAAGCCUACCAAGGCGACGAUCGGUAGCUGGUCUGAGAGGAUGGCCAGCCACACUGGGACUGAGACACGGCCCAGACUCCUACGGGAGGCAGCAGUGGGGAAUAUUGGACAAUGGGGGAAACCCUGAUCCAGCGAUGCCGCGUGGGUGAAGAAGGCCUGCGGGUUGUAAAGCCCUUUCAGUGGGGAAGAAAAACGGGGUGUGAACAGCGCUUCGUUUUGACGUUACCCACAGAAGAAGCACCGGCUAACUCCGUGCCAGCAGCCGCGGUAAUACGGAGGGUGCGAGCGUUAAUCGGAAUUACUGGGCGUAAAGGGCGCGUAGGCGGUUGGGUAAGUCGGGUGUGAAAGCCCUGGGCUUAACCUGGGAAUGGCAUUCGAGACUACCUAUCUAGAGUCUGGUAGAGGGAAGUGGAAUUUCCGGUGUAGCGGUGAAAUGUGUAGAUAUCGGAAGGAACACCAGUGGCGAAGGCGACUUCCUGGACCAAGACUGACGCUGAGGCGCGAAAGCGUGGGGAUCAAACAGGAUUAGAUACCCCCGUAGUCC
rnacentral:rRNA from 1 species